rnacentral:rRNA from 1 species
GACGAACGCUGGCGGCGUGCCUAAUACAUGCAAGUAGAACGCUGAAGGAGGAGCUUGCUUCUCUGGAUGAGUUGCGAACGGGUGAGUAACGCGUAGGUAACCUGCCUGGUAGCGGGGGAUAACUAUUGGAAACGAUAGCUAAUACCGCAUAAGAGUAGAUGUUGCAUGACAUUUGCUUAAAAGGUGCAAUUGCAUCACUACCAGAUGGACCUGCGUUGUAUUAGCUAGUUGGUGGGGUAACGGCUCACCAAGGCGACGAUACAUAGCCGACCUGAGAGGGUGAUCGGCCAACCUGGGACUGAGACACGGCCCAGACUCCUACGGGAGGCAGCAGUAGGGAAUCUUCGGCAAUGGACGGAAGUCUGACCGAGCAACGCCGCGUGAGUGAAGAAGGUUUUCGGAUCGUAAAGCUCUGUUGUAAGAGAAGAACGAGUGUGAGAGUGGAAAGUUCACACUGUGACGGUAUCUUACCAGAAAGGGACGGCUAACUACGUG